CCUCUCCUAGGUCAAAGAAG
rnacentral:snRNA from 1 species